AGCUCACGCUUCCUUCUCCAAACUGAGAUGCCCUUACAGAGCUGUGUAAAACCUUGGCUAUUGGGACAAUAAAGGUCUUGGUUCUGGAGUGUAGAAUCUCUCCUAUGGUAACAGAACCAAAUACGCCACACAUAUAAGUGAGAGCUCGUGGUGCUGGAUGGAUCCCACCACGCUCUCUGAGCUGCAGGUGGGAGUGAAAGGACAUUAACACCGAUCCUGCAGGGGCUGGGGGCAUCUCUCCUUCCCUGGUAGGAGGAAGCGACAUGCUCUGCCUUCCUCUUUCCAUGCCAAAACCCACAAGAGAUGCCCAAACGGGACAAUCCUAAUAGAAGACUCUUCCUGUGUUUUCUUGCUGAACUUCAGAUGGAGGAUGACAAUUGGGACACCAUGAGCCCUGAGGACAAACAGUCCUGAAGAAGGACCAGCAAACUGCUUGGAACAGCCAUGCCAGAUGGACUGGAGGAGGCUGUGUCCAAGAACCAUGGAGAUGUGGCAGAGGGACAUGUUGCUGUCAAGCUGCAGUGAUGAAUUCCCCUGCGAUGAACCUGUGAUGAACCUCAGCCACGCUGCAAUUACAAAGUGCUCAGCUGAAAGCCUGCUCUGAUGUUACACUGCCGCGUUUCUCAGGACAAGCAGCCUCAGGUCCCACCGAGGCAUUCCCAGCUCCAAAACACAGGCAGAGAAAAUGUGAAUGGGGAACACUGCCAGAUCAUGGGUUUCACAUGGAAUGACAAUUGCAAAGCAUAGGGAUGGAUCUCCCACUCCCCACCCAGGCACAGAAAUCCUCCUUGAUUGAUCACCUGAGGGAAGGUAGCAGCCUUUCUGCUGGCUAGAGUUGUGGCUUUGCACUUUAAAACUGCCUUCUUUUGGGACUUCUAAUUGCUUUACAGAUCUCCCUAGUUCACCAGGCACAGGCAUCAGGAUAGCUCUCAUGAAUGCAUGAAAACAGAGACAGUGAUGGGGUGAUCGCUCCGCUCCCAUUCCCUGCAGCCCCACUGCCUCCAUCCCUCUGACCAUGAAAAUGAGUAAAGCUCAGCCAGCAGCAAAAAAAAUAGAAUAACACCUUACUUCCAUCUCAGUCCCCCUUUAGCAGUCAUUUCCCUCGCUCCAAAGCCCAGUCAGCAGUAGUUGGCAAACGCGGC